rnacentral:lncRNA from 1 species
GGCGUGUUGGGGGCGGGGAGCGGGCUCGCGUGACGGCGGCAGGGAGUGGACCUGUGCCACCGUGCGGCGUGGAAGGGAGAAUUGAUCGCUUCCUAGUGUGUAAGCCACCGGACUGAGCUGGAGCAGGUGAGAGCUUUUCGACGAGCUAGCGCAGCGAGCCUACUCGGUCUGGUCGGAAAAUGGCAAGUGGCAAGCUGGUGGAAGUGCUCCUCGGUCGGGCAUUCAAAGCCCUCCAAAUCUGGCCCCACUUUAGCCGUCCAAUCACAGCCGCCUCCAUCCCCCCUGCAAGAACUCCCAGCUCCAAUCAGUGAAGUCUCCAUGCCAUCCUCAGCGCGCAGCAGAUUCAUUCUUCCUUGGUGCCUUUGCCCAUGCUGUUCCCCACCCCACCCCCUAUGCCAGGAGUGCCCUCCCUGCUCUACACUCCCAAUUCAGCCCAGGCUCGGAGACACACAGCUCAAGUCGCGGCUUGUCAGGGUCCCUGGCAGCCAAGGCCCCUCCUGUUUCUCAAAAGGAACACAUGUAAUACAACAUGGAGGCGCGAGCUUCAGCCAAGAGCUCUUCCUUCGCAGCCAUCUAAACUCACCCCAGCCAGAGACUGCCCACCAUUUCGCCCCCUUCCCAUUCAUAGACAGCUUUGCUGGCUGAGAGUGAGACUCCCUGCCUCCAACAAAUCAUUCCUCUUAGAAGAGCAGAAGAAUUAGCUUU